rnacentral:rRNA from 1 species
CCCUUAGACGUUCUGGGCCGCACGCGCGCUACACUGACCAGUGCAACAAGCAUCCGUCCUUGGCCGACAGGCCCGGGCUAUCUUUGAACGCUGGUCGUGAUGGGGAUAGACUUUUGCAAUUUUUGGUCUUCAACGAGGAAUUCCUAGUAAACGCAAGUCAUCAACUUGCAUUGAUUACGUCCCUGCCCUUUGUACACACCGCCCGUCGCACCUACCGAUUGAAUGGUCCGGUGAAGCCUCCGGAUUGGCGCGCACCUCGGUGCCGCCGAGAAGUUGGCUAAACCUUACCAUUUAGAGGAAGGUGAAGUCGUAACA